rnacentral:SRP_RNA from 1 species
GCCGAGCCAACUAGCGAUGGCUUGUAACCCGAGCGGGGGCAUUAAGAUGGUGUGGAUGCCGUUCAAAAAAAACUCCCAAAACCAUGCAAAAAUACCCCCGAGUGGUUUUAACUAUUUUU